rnacentral:rRNA from 1 species
GACGAACGCUGGCGGCGUGCCUAAUACAUGCAAGUAGAACGCAGUUGCGGACGGGUGAGUAACGCGUAGGUAACUGCCUCAUAGCGGGGGAUAACUCUUGGAAACAUUAGCUAAUACCGCAUACUGUGAGAUGGACCUGCGUUGGAUUAGCUAGUUGGUGGGGUAAAGGUCCACCAAGGCGACGAUACAUAGCCGACCUGGGAGGGUGGACGGGCACACUGGGACUGAGAAACGGCCCAGACUCCUACGGGAGGCAGCAGUAGGGAAUCUUCGGAAAUGGACGGAAGGCUGACCGAGCAACGGCGCGUGAGUGAAGAAGGUCUUCGGAUCGUUAAGCUAUUUUGUGAGAGAAGCGGUAACUAAAGAGAAAGGGACGGCUAACUACGUGCCAGCAGCCGCGGUAAUAC